AUUACACCCUAGCGAUAAGGCUAGAUAUAUCCAAUUGAAAGCGCAACAAGAGGGGAGGACAAGUCCUGAAACAACUGUUAACCCAAGUACUGGUUCUAUCUAGUUCAACCAGGAAUAAACACAGUCACCGGAGGUACAUUGUAUUACGAUCCAAAUAAGGAUCGUGAAGAACUAGCUAAAAUGAUUACUGUUAUGUGUUU
rnacentral:lncRNA from 1 species